rnacentral:rRNA from 1 species
GACGAACGCUGGCGGCGUGCUUAACACAUGCAAGUCGAACGGAAAGGCCCUGCUUUUGUGGGGUGCUUGAGUGGCGAACGGGUGAGUAACACGUGAGUAACCUGCCCUUGACUUUGGGAUAACUUCAGGAAACUGGGGCUAAUACCGGAUAGGAGCUCCUGCUGCAUGGUGGGGGUUGGAAAGUUUCGGCGGUUGGGGAUGGACUCGCAGCUUAUCAGCUUGUUGGUGGGGUAGUGGCUUACCAAGGCUUUGACGGGUAGCCGGCCUGAGAGGGUGACCGGCCACAUUGGGACUGAGAUACGGCCCAGACUCCUACGGGAGGCAGCAGUGGGGAAUAUUGCACAAUGGGCGGAAGCCUGAUGCAGCAACGCCGCGUGCGGGAUGACGGCCUUCGGGUUGUAAACCGCUUUCGCCUGUGACGAAGCGUGAGUGACGGUAAUGGGUAAAGAAGCACCGGCUAACUACGUG